rnacentral:lncRNA from 1 species
GAUGAGUAAACUGAGACCAGAGAGGAUGAGUGAAUUGCUCAAAGUUCUCUGUAUCCAUGAAGCAAUGAGCCAAGAAAGUAAGCAGGACCAUACUCCCUUCCUUUUAAUCUAUUCCCUUAAGGGAAUAUGCUGACUUCUCUCACAGAUACCUUGUUGCAGGGAAGCUGAAAACUUAAAAGGUUUCAUCAAUGACUCUUUUUAUUUUCUUCAAGAAGACACAAGGGUUACUUUCAAAAGGUUGAAACAACAGAUUGAUGUACUUCAGGCUAGAGUAAAAGCUGCUGGAGCAAAUAUGUAUGACACCAAUGGCACUCGAGAGGAGCUUAACACAAAGUAACUGCAAGGAG